AUUGAACGCUGGCGGCAGGCCUAACACAUGCAAGUCGAGCGGAGCGGCGGACGGGUGAGUAAUGCCUAGGAAUCUGCCUGGUAGUGGGGGAUAACGUUCGGAAACGGGCGCUAAUACCGCAUACUAACAAAUGAGCCUAGGUCGGUUUGGCUAGUUGUUGUGUUAAAGACCUACCAAGGCGACGAUCCGUAACUGGACGGAGAGGAUGAUCAGUCACACUGGAACUGAGACACGAUCCCGACUCCGAAGCGGGGCAGCAGUGGAGAAUAUUGGACGAUGGGCGAAAGCCUGAUCCAGCCAUGCCGCGUGUGUGAAGAAGGUCUUCGGAUUGUAGAGCACUUUAAGUUGUGAGGCGUUACCAACAGAAUAAGCACCGGCUAACUUCGUGCCAGCAGCCGCGGUAAUAC
rnacentral:rRNA from 1 species